AUUGAACGCUGGCGGCAUGCCUUACACAUGCAAGUCGAACGGCAGCAUGGAGAGCUUGCUCUCUGAGGGCGGGUGCCGAACGGGGGAGUAAAGCAUCGGACCGUACGGUUAAGGGGGGGUUACGUAAGGGAAGGUAACCCUAUUACGGAAUAGGCACGGAGGGGGAAACCAGGGGAUGGCAAGACCUUCGGCUAACCGAGCGGCGGAGGUAAGAUUAGCUAGUUGGUAGGGUAAAGGCCUACCAAGGGGACGACCUGUAGCGGGUCUGAGAGGGUGAUCAGCCACACUGGGACUGAGACACGGCCCAGACUCCUCCGGGAGUCAGCAGUGGGGAAUUUUGGACAAUGGGGGCAACCCUGAUCCAGCCAUGCCGCGUGAGUGAAGAAGGCCUUCGGGUUGUAAAGCUCUUUCGGCCGGGAAGAAAUCGCACAGGCUAAUACUCUGUGUGGAUGACGGUACCGGCAUAAGAAGCACCGGCUAACUACGUGCCAGCAGCCGCGGUAAAAC
rnacentral:rRNA from 1 species